GCCCGUUUAGCUCAGUGGUAGAGCGCGCCACUCGUAAUGGUCUAGCCGUUGAUGGUGAAACCCUAACCCAUGGUGAGGUCGGUUGUUCGAAUCAGCCAAUGGGCA